CGGCGAUUGGGACGAAGUCGUAACAAGGUAGCCGUACCGGAAGGUGCGGCUGGAUCACCUCCUUUCUAAGGAGCACCACGAGAAGCAUCCCAAUUGGUGGGGUGCAAGCCGUGAGGGGUCAUCGUCUGUAGUGGACGAAGACCGGGUGCACGACAACAAGCAAGCCAGACACACUAUUGGGUCCUGAGGCAACACCCUCGGGUGCUGUCCCUCCAUCUUGGUGGUGGGGUGUGGUGUUUGAGAACUGGAUAGUGGUUGCGAGCAUCAAAAUGUAUGCGUUGUCGUUAGCGGCAACGUGUUCUUUUUGUGCAAUUUUAAUUCUUUGGUUUUUGUAGUGUUUGUAAGUGUCUAAGGGCGCAUGGUGGAUGCCUUGGCAUCGAGAGCCGAUGAAGGACGUGGGAGGCUGCGAUAUGCCUCGGGGAGCUGUCAACCGAG
rnacentral:misc_RNA from 1 species